AAUCAAGCGUCAUAAUCAACGCGAUACAAAUUUUACGCAAUACGAGGAGCAGACGUGUUUUAGGUGACAAUUAUUGCAAUUUCCUAACAAAUAAGCUUAAGAAGAAAGCGUGGAUCAGCGUGGAGCAACAAUUUGCCAUUAAAACUGGUGUUAAACGCUCUUAUAACACACUGCGAGUUAAAUACAGAAAUAAAACUAAUCAAAAAAAGAAUGCGAUAAAUAAUUCGUCAUCGACCAGGGCAACGUCUAUAGUCGGGCCGACCAUCUUGUGAUGAAGCUGAAUGCAACGAAAGUAUUUCACUAAAUUCUAUAAAAGUUGAAGCAUUUCAUAUGUUCGAACUUGAAGAGGAAACUUUUGUAUAGUAUGAAUAGCCGACUAUUUUGAAAUAUUAAUAGAAAUCUACAUUAUGCAUGUACAUAUUUGCAGUCUUGUCUACAAAUCAAUGCAAAUGUGUCGAAGUCACAAGUGGCUGCUGAAUCACAGAAACAAAACCCGCAAAAAGUGUUUAAUAAAACAACAAGAAUUAGAACAUUGGCCAAGGAGACAAAUGAGUUGUUAAAGAUGCAACAAAAGUUUUAUCGGAAUGAAAAUAUUCGUGCGUUAGAAAUAGUGAACGUGAGGCGAGAGCUAUUCGAGCUGAAAAAAGAGCUACUCGAUGUGAAAAGUAAAUUGCGUACCGAAGCAGAUAUUAAAAUAGAGGAGUAUGAUGGAUAGCACACAGAAACUCAAAGUGCACAAUUUGGGAAAUUAUUUCUGCGAUCAGCUUAUCGCCUUUCGAGCAAAUCUAUUUUGUGCUGGCAUCAAACUGUCUAGUGCGCUACUUGAAAUGUAAAUAUAUGGAGUACUACUAACCUGGCGUAUAGUCUGGACGCAGCUCGUGAUGCUUAAUGCCAAAACUGAAUUCUGGUGUCUUGCUCAGCUUUACCUUUUCAGGACAAUAUGCGCCCGGAGCUGUUGAAUAGAUGAAGCCGUCAACAAUUAUUCAUACAUAAAGGAUGACGGAUGGAUAUCACUUUUUGAUUUGGAUUCAAUGAUUCGAUCUACCGCGUAAAUCCUUUUGCUGAAUUAUUGUUAGCUUGGUAUUUCAACUGCUCCACCUCUGGAUUGAUGUCGACAAGUAGUAGAAAAGCUGUUUUAUAUUAUGUUAAGAGGAAACAUUUAAUUACAUAGCAAUAAAUAAAAUAUGCGUAUUUUCUAAGUAUCUAAA